rnacentral:piRNA from 1 species
UUUUGAAGUUCCUUAUGUAUC